CAUGGCCUUUUGAUUAUAAUUUAAGGUCUGAUCUGCUCAAUGAUUAAUUAAAUUGCCGCAGUAUUUUGACUGUGCGAAGGUAGCAUAAUAAUUAGUUUCUUGAUUAGAAGCUUGUAUGAAUGAUUGGACAAGAAAUUUACUGUCUCUUUUUAAAUUUUAUUGAAUUUUAUUUUUAAGUUAAAAAGCUUAAAUAUUAAUAAAAGACGAGAAGACCCUAUAGAGUUUUAUAUUUAAUUUUUAUUUAGUUUUUGUAUAAAUUUUGAAUUUUAAAUAUUUAGUUGGGGUGACUUAAAGAUUAAAUAAAUUCUUUUAAUUUUAUAUUGAUGAUUUUUAAUUUUAGAAUCUUGAGUUUUUAAAUUUAAAAUAAAUUACCUUAGGGAUAACAGCGUAAUUUUUCUUAAAAGUUCUUAUUUAAAGAAAAUUUUGCGACCUCGAUGUUGGAUUAAAAUUAAUUUUUGGUGCAAUAACUUAAAAAUUAGGUCUGUUCGACCUUUAAUAUU
rnacentral:rRNA from 1 species